rnacentral:lncRNA from 1 species
UGAGUUUCAUUUAUUGCAUAUUGAUCCCUAGCUCCUUCUUUAUAUACUACUACGUUGAGCACCUUGUUAAUUGCAAGUUUGCAACAACAACAAACGAAGAGAAAGAGGUAUAUGUUUUUUUUAAUGGUUAUAUUUUCAUAUUUAAUUUCUAUAUUUCUCAAUGCAUGUGUGUGUAUCUCUACGUUGAAAUUGUUCUAUUCAGUACUUCAUGCAUAACAAUAUAUACAUGAACACUAAUUAACAUUGCAAACUUUCUUAUUGAUAUAAACACAUGCAUGCAGGAUCAUUGAAGGAGAGAAAGAAAGAAAUGACUCGCAAACAGAAUUUUUUCAUGGCAAUCUUGAUUGCAGUUCUUUUAUUCUCAAAUGGUAUGUAGACAUGUAGUCAUGUAGAUGUAUAUAAUUAGAAGAAAAAAAAAAGGUUUGAUUCAUUUAUUAAUUAUUUUCUUUAUAUCCAUAUUAAUUAUGUACACUAAUUAAUUUUACUCUUGUAAUUAGGUAUGCGCAAAACUGAAGGUGAAUCAAUAAGUCUUACUUGNNNNNNNNNNNNNNNNNNNNNNNCCCUGCUAGUGCAGUGGCGUGUGUGUGCUCGUUUGCCUUUAAUCCGGAUAUCUCUUGUGUCCGGAUUAUGACUUAAUAAUAUAUUUAGUAGUUUGGCGUGUGGGUCAUUGUAUUCGCCAGUUGUUUAGGCUUGUAUUUUCUUUUAUAUAUCCUCUUCUUUGGUACUUCAUGUACGAUUGUUGAGGUUGAUUAAUAAAAUUUUAUAAAUUAAAAAUAAAAAAAUUAGUAGUUUUAAAAAAAGUAAGAAAUAAGAUACUACGGAUCAUGAAUAUUUAAGCUUCAUUGGUACUAUGAAAACAUGAUACUAGAUAUACUAUUGUC